GAGGGUGGGGUCCUUGAGACCCCAUCCCGCUAUAGAACUGAGCUCUCUUAUAGCCAGGGUAUACAGGUGCCAUGGUCCGAAUAUGGCUUGUUCCCUCAAGACUCACGUUGAAAUUUAAUCCCCAUCAUGAGCUGUUAGGAAGUGCGACCCUUAAGAGGUGAGCAGAGCUCUGUCCUCACAAGUGGAUUAAACCCUUCAUGUGGGUUAAUGGGUUAUCUCAAGGGUGGAUCUGCUGGGGCUGGGGAUGUAGCUCAGUGGCCGAGCGCGUGGCCAGCAGAGUGAGCUCUGGGUUUGAUCCCUGGUCCAGAAAAAUCAGAAACAAAACAGGAGCGGGCACCACGGCACACACCUGUAAUCUCUGACUGGGAGGCUGAGGCCAGCCUCAGCAACUUAGUGAGAGUCUGUCUUAGAAUUAAAAAAAAGAAGCCUGGGAUGCAGCUCAGGGGCAAAGCUCCUGGGUUCAAUCCCCAAACUUCUCCUCCCCCUGAAAGUGGUUCUGCUUAAGCCAGUUGUUUAGGUGCCUCUUACACUCCGUCUCCCUGUCUCUCGCCAUGUGAUGCCCUUCGCUGCCUUGGGACUUACCAGAAGGCCAUCCCCAGAUGUGGCCCCUUUACCCCUGGACCAUGACCCUAAGCCACAACAGAUCUCUUUUCUCUGAGGCUGACUCAGCCUGCGGAUCUGUGUUAUCAGCAACAAAAAACAGACGGAGACAACAGGGCUCUGGAGUCGCAGAGGCCAGAGAGCAGAGUGGACAUGAGCCGGGGACUGCAGGCAGGGGUCAUGACAUAUACAGCUCCAUGGCCGUGGCUGACAGGACGUGGCAGCUCCCAGGCCAAGAUCACGGACAGUGGUCAGGAAUGGAUAAGCAGGAAGCCAAGGUCAGGUACCCGAACGGAAUGGAUGAUCUCUCGCCUGGUUUCCAAACUGGAGCCUGACCUCAGCCUCAGCACCCACCAGCUGAACAUGGGCUGGUCCCAUGAGCAACCUCCGUCCUGCCUGAGAGGGACCGAGUGAGUUUCCUGGGGCGCCACACAAAGGGCCACAGGUGGGGUGGCCUAAGCAGGAAUUCACUGCCUCACGGCCCUGGAGGCCAGAAGUCCAAAAUUAAGGUGUCCCCAGGGUGGCUCCUGAGGACAGUGAGGAAGAUCUGAUCCAGGCUCCCGCGCAGCUGCUGGAAGUUGCCUGGAAUCUGUGGUGACCCUUGACCCCUGGAGGCAUGGCCUUGACCUCUGCCUUCAUCUUCUCAGACGUUCACCCUGUGAGCUUGUCCAAAUGUCCUCUUUGUAUCAGGGCACAGUCGGGUUGGACUAGAGCCCACCCUGAUGACCUCAUUGGAGCUCUAUCAUCUCCAAAGACUGUAGUCCCAAAGAAGGUGACAUUCACAGGUACAGGGGGGAGGGGGGGAGGCUCUCAACAUCUAUCAGGGACACACAAUUCAACCCAGAACAGGGAGCGUCGGCUACUGGCUCUCGUCAUCCACAGCAGGAAAAGGUGUGUGUGGGAUCAGGUCCCCCGGAAAGUGGGCAGGUGGAUUCAGGAGGGAUUUAUCAGGGUUACACCUGGGAAAGAUAAAGGGGAGAAGGAUCGGGACGGGUGGCGAAGAUUCCAGGCCUGAAGCGGAUCUGCCCUCUGCAAAAGGAGAGUGGGUAGGAAGGAGGGUGGGUAGGAAACGCCUCCCCGGGGCACGGCUUCGGGAGUCUUGGGCAGCCUGGCGGGUGGGGACAGAGGGCUCUAGAGCAAAGAUGGUCCAUCAGAGGAGUCCCACGCUGGGAAGGAAAUGUGGGCCCCUCCAUCCCUGCUGUGUGGGGCCACUGGGAGCUGCUCAGGAGGUCCGGCCUUGGCUCAACACUGGCCCGCCCCGGAGGCUGUCCACCCACUGCCCCUUGGCAGGCGCUCUCUCGAAGGGGGAGCUGAGUGGCAGGUCUCCAAAGCUGCCACAUGGCUUCACCCAGAUCUUUUGAGGCCCUUGGUUACAGAGGCCACAUUGACACUGAUACCCAGGCCCCGGGGCCAUUCCUUACAGUGGAAUGAGGAUGUAUGGGGACUGGGUCAUCAAUGGAGUCCUGGCCUAGAUCUGUCCUACAAUAGGACUGUUGUGUCCAGGGUCUUGCUGGCUGUCCUUCUGCCAGUUCCUGAGGACGCAGGCGGAACCAGGUGCUUGGCACUCAGUAGGACUUUGUGUCAGUUCCUCGACAUGCGCGCAGUCAGAGCCGUCGUGUGAGGGAAGGCCAGUGGAAGACCCUGAGACUGUCACCUUGCCUCCAUCCUCCUCCCCGCUGUCCUGACUCUGCUAAGAGGGUCAGUCAAACUCAGUGUUGAUAAAGACAAGGAAACUGUGGCAUUUGCUGGUGAAUGGAUGGAACUGGAGACUAUCGUGCUAACUGAAAAUGAUCCAAAGUACAAUCCAGCCCAUCUGGUCAGUCCGGUCCCGUGCACUGGCCGGCUCUGGCCGCAGCCUCGCGGUACAGACCCCUGGAGCAGGAAGGAGCAGGCACAUGGGAGCUUCCGGAGACCCUGUGGCCCAGAGGUGGGAGCGCCAACAGGAAAGCCACCAGGCAGAGUCCGAGGGUGCUGGAGCAAGGCCAUGCCAUCUGCAGCAGAGGACUCCUGACCAGCCCAGGGGACACCGAGUGGCCAAGUGGCCACAACUUCACAUCAUGAACCGAUAAGCUACCCACCAAAUCACAGGACCGGGCUCUCGUCACAAGACGGAACCAGCACAUCAGGGAUGGCCCCAGAGGUCAAGGGCGUGAGCCAGAGGCCUGAACAGAUAAGGGCCACUGUCACGGGGAGGCCUCUCCUCAGCUUCCCCCACCGUGGGGUUUCCCUGUGACCAGCUGACAGCGUUGGUACCUCCUGUCACCUUGAGAGCGUCCAGGACAGAAGAGACAUCAAACAACCCGGUGGACGAGAUGACCUGGGCAGCGGGUUCACGGGUGGAACAAGGGUGGCACUCACUGGGCAGAGAGGGCGGCUUCUCAUGGGCCCAGGAGCUGCUUCUGCCCACUGAGGCCGACAUAGUUACUGCCACCUCCGAAAGCCCGACCUGUGUGCAGCCGGGACCCUCCCUGACCUUCCCUGGUGAUUCCCAGCCCCGAGUUGACCGCCAGCCCUCGCUAGUGAGUGGAUCGCCCACAGCCCUUCCUUCCAGGACGGCGACCCACCAGACCCGCGGACAUCUGAGAGGACAUCACCUCUGGCCCGGGGAUCCUGGGGCGGGAGGAAUGGCUGUGGACACAGGUCCGUGGAAUCCCCGAUCCGACUGCAGACUUGCACUGUGGGGACAGGCCCCUCCACCUGCCGCUGUCCCUGGGGAGACACUGCUCUUGAAGCCAAGCAGUCGCAUGGUGCCCUCCCCUCCGCACAGCAGAAGGGACAGAGAGAUUAGUCAGCUUUCUUGCUGCUGUGGCUAAAAGACCAACCACAACCAGUGAAGGAGCGCUCACGGUUUAGGGCUCACGGUUUCAGAGGUCUCAGUGCAUAGAUGGCUGACUCCAUUCCUCAGGGCUCAAGGUGAGGCAGGGCAUGGUGGAGGGAGAGUGUGGCAGAGGGAUGAGCCCCCAGGAUGGUCAGGAAGCAGGGAGACUCCGCUGGCCAGAUGCAAAUAUAUACCCCCAAGCCACGCCCCAUGCCCACCCUCCAGCCACACCCACCACCUCAGGCAACCCAGUUAAUCUCAUCAGGGGAUGGAUUCAGGGUUGUGUCCAGACUCUGACUGCCCAGUCACUCCUCCUCUGAACCCUCCUGCCUCGCGACUCACAGGUGAGCUUUGGGGGACACCUCACAUCCAAACCAUGACAGGUGCAGCUCCUCGCAGUUUCUGAGGACCAUGUGGGGAAGCCUGCCUCCUGUCCCCACAUCUUUAGUCUUUGGGGUGCCUCCCAAGUGGACCUGGCUUCCAUUGGAACACAGGAAGAGUCCCACUGGACGUAAAGCUACGGUUGGCCACUCAGGCCAUUUUUAGAUGUACAGCUCAGUGGCUGAAAUCAUUCACACUGUUGUGCAGCCGUCACCACUGGCCCUCUCCAGAACUCUUCCACCUUCCCACACUGAGACUCUGUCUCCCUAGAACACUGUUACCAGUCACCUUCCCCCAACCUGACAACCACUGUUCUACUUUCUGCUUCUCUGGAUCUGACUGCUCUCGGAACCCUGCAGAGUGUGGUCCCACAACUAGAUGUUAAUCCAUGAGAUGUGACAAAAAGGCUGCUGGAAGCAAGUCAACCCAGGUUGGACAGCACCCCUUCAUUUUGUCUCCUUUAAUUCUUUCUGAUAACUGGAAUGUUGGUUGGAUAGCUGGAAAUUCAGCAGCCACCUUGGUACAAGAGGUUGCUUUGAGGAUACUAUGAGGUACUGGAAUAGCACGACAGAAGAAUCCUGUGCUGAAUCCAGGUUCAUAAUGGAACUGUCUUACCUAUUAUUCAAACUAAUUCCAACAAACAUCAGGUAUAUCCUUAUUUUUGAGACUUUUUGCCUUAGGGGUAUCUGUUCACAUAUCUUGGAUACAAAUCCUUUGCUCAGGAUUGGAAAAAUAUGCAAAUUUAUGAAUAUUCUACAAAUAUUUUAUGAGUAUCUAGCACUGUGCCAGGACACAGUAGGCAGUCUUUAAAUAUCGGUUGAAUGAUGAAUGAACAAAUAGGCUACAAAUAUUUUCUCCCAUCUAUUGUUUUGCGUUGUAACUGUAAUUGUAACAUCUUUGCUGUACUGAAGUUAAAAAAGCCUUUUAGGUGGUUAAAUAUGUCGGCCUUUGCCUGUUUGGCCUCUGGCUCUGGUUAUGCUAGGAGCCCUGCUUGCCCCAGACUUCUAAGUUCAUCUUCCUGUGUUUUAUGCUACAGUUACCUACGUGCAUAAGUCUCACAUAGAGGCUGACUUGAUGAGGACGUUUUGUGUAUGCUGUGAGGUAGGCACCGAACUUUGUUUCCUUCCAAAUGGGUAGCAGGUUACACCACAAGCCACGAAUUGAGAGGACACCCUAAGUGAAACCAGCAGGGCCUCCAGUGUUGGUUGGGGGCAGUGAGGACCACCUCUGCGCAGACGCUGCCCGCUCAGCGCCCCCUGCAGGGCGCUGUUCACCUGGGCAGUAAGGGCUGCUCUGUGAUGGGGACCAUUCACAGGCCUCACAGAAUCCCCACCUUCUGCGUCCACACCAAGAGAGCCACUUGCUACCGUGGUGCAGUGAGAAACGUGGGUUGGUCUUUGUCCCUGGUUCCUGGCACGGAGCUCCUGCAUCCCUGGGGCGGGAGUCUUUUUUCUAACCUGGUGACGCUUGGCAGAUCCCCAGAUGGCUUUCAAGGUGGAGCCUGGUUGUCAGAAGACCAAUCUUGAUGAAGCUGGAACAUUCAGUCUCACCCGCAUCUGCUGGAGAGUGGGGAGGGCUUGGGUGUGUGGAUCCCUGGGUGGUGGGACUGGGGGAUUCUGGGGUAGUGAGCUCGCGGGAGUGCAGGGAGGGUGGUGUGCCCUGUCCCCCACACCUCGCCCUAUACGUCCCUUCCAUCUGGCUGCCUCUCAGUUGUCCCCUUUAUUAUAAACCAGGACAGGUCAGACAUCCCUAAUCUGAGAAUCCCAAUGAUAUGCUCCAAAAUUCUAAAUUUUUUAAAUACCUUUAUUUUAUUUAUUUAUUUUUAUGUGGUGCUGAGGAUCGCCUAGUAGCAUGUACUAGGCGAGUGCUCUACCACCGAGUCACAACCCCAGCCCAGAAAAUUCUAAAUUUUUGAGCACUGAUAUGACGUGGAAAAUUCCACAUGUGACCUCAGGUGGUGGGCUGCAGUCACAAUACAGGCACUAAAAAUACCGUACAAAGUCGUCAUCAGGCUUUGGGUGUGAAGUGUACAUAAAACAUCCAGAACGUCCCUUCCCGGGAUAACUCGUUAGGUACCGCUGUGCCUCACUUAACCACAGGGUUGUGUUCCGAGAAGUCGGGUGGUUUUGUCAUUGCAUGAACAUCACAGAAUAGGCUUGCACAAACUGAGAGGGCCACCAGGUCUCUCUAAGUGACACCGUGUUACAGAUCCAUCACUGAGGGCUACAUCAUUAUGCAGCACAUGAUUGCAUGUGCAAAUGUUAAAAAAUAAUGAGGUUCUGAAACACUCCGGUCCCCAGCAUUUUGUAUGACGGAUACCCAACCUGUCAUAGCACGCAGAGCACUAUCCUGGGUUCUGUGAGUCUUCUAGCAAGUUCCGGGGCCCAAAGACUGCUUCAUAGAGCCAGUCGGUCAGGAGGAUGCAGGGCCCGGGGCUCUGAAGUGGGGGCAAUCCUGUGGGACUGGUCCCUUAGCUCAUGGGACCGAUACCAGCUUGGAGUUGCACUGGGUGGCUGGACACCUACCUAGCUGGUGCCGCUCGGCCAUCGGGUGCAGUCGGCCUGUGAGUGGGUGGAGAUCUGUUUCUGUCCUUCUCUCCCUUCCUGGCAAAGUGGACACCCGCUGUGCCCCUCUGGUCUGCCCUGUGGGAGAAUGUCCUUCCCCUCUGCCCCUGGGCCUCGGUGAGAGGUCGUCCAGCUCUGUCAGCCUAAGGGUGGGCCCAGAAAAUUUCUUCUUCCGUUGGCAUCUGGGUAAAAUGGUGCCACAGGUUUCCAUUUGCCUGCCGCAGGGGUGAGGAUGGGCCCUGGUCCUGCUGAGCAGGAUCAGGAUCUGCUUGUCAACGUGGCCCGGGGCACAUGACAGGUGCGCCCACAGUGAAUGGAGGGUGACACCAGACCCCUCCCUUUGCCUCCGAAGGGAGCCGGCGAACAGAGCGGGAGAAGUUCCCCGUCCUCAGGACUCAGGGUGCGCCAGCAACUUACCGGGUCCCUGCAACUCGGCUUCAUUAUGACACUUUCAUCUGAGCAGGGACUUUAAUAUCGAGCAUCACGCUGGCCCCGCAUGGUGAAAGGUGGGCAGCUUCCAGGGACUGGCCAGGCUGGUGCCACGCCCCUCUCACCUGCUGUCCUGGGGGACGUGUGCCUGUGCUUCAUGUCCCUACACCUUGUGCUCCCUGGCGGCAACUGCCAGGAAGGACAUCUGCCAUGGGUGACUUUGUCCUUUCAAAAGGACACAUUGAAGUCUUCAGUCCCAGUACCUGUGAAUGUGACCUUAUUUGGAAAUAGUGAUUUUUUGUUAUUCACAGGGGAUUGGCUUCAGCCCCCGUGGACACUAAGAUCCACAGAUGCUCCAGUCCCUAGAUCAAAAGGUGUAGUAUUUGCACACACCCUAGGCACACACCCCGGGCACACACCCCAGGCACACCCUCUCGUACACUUUAUCUCUAGGCGACUUACAAUACCCAAUAUAAUGUAAGUGCUACGUACGUGGUUGUUAUACUGUUGUUUGGUGAAUAAUAAUGAGAAAAAAAAUCUGCGUACGUUCAGCACAGAUGUAGUAUUUUUUCAAACACAUUUGAUCUGCGGUUGAACUGGUAGAUGUGGAACUCAUGGACACAGGGGGCCGACUGCCGGGGCUCUGCAGGUGUAGGGCAGGUGAGACAGGAUCAUGGGCAGGUGGGGGGUGGGGGGGCUGGUCCAAUAUAACUUUGUCCUCAUGAAAAGAGGACAUUUGGACAGAGAUGUGAAGGGAUCAUGUCAGGCGAAGGUGAAGGCGGGGACCUGGUUGAUGACAUCUACACUCCCAGAAAUUCAGAGAUGCCAGCGAAUCACCACCAACCAGGAGAGAGGCCUGGAGCAGGCCCCACCCACCAUCCUCAGAAAGAACCAACUCUGCCUUCACCUUGAUUCUAACCUCUGGCCUCCAGCUGGGGAGACAUCCAUUUCUGUUAUUUUAGCUGGAUGCAGUAGGGCACGCUUGUAAUCCCAGUGACUCAGGAGGCUGAGGAAGAGGAUAGCAGGUUCAAAGCCAGCCUCAGCAACUUAGCAAGGCCCUAAGCACCUCAGAGAGACCCUGUCUCAAAAUAUAAAAUAAAAAGGGCUGGGGACGUGUUGCUCAAUGGUUAAGCACCUGUGGGUUCAAUCCCCGGUACCAAGCAAAAAACUCGCUUAUUUUAAGCCGCUCAGUCUCUGGUAGUUGCUAUGGCAGCCUCAGGAAACAAAUGCAUCCAUCUAUCACUGCCAUAAUGCUCGGUAAGUCCUUCCCUCAGGCCUGCCACUCACGCUGUCUCCUCCCUGGCUCCUCCAUCCUGUAUCAAUUUUUCCUUUGCAUGAAGGACGACAAACCAAGGUCCACUAAGUGUGGUCUAAGCGUGGGCCAGCAGCUGCGGGGGUCUGACCUGUGCCCGUCUGGUUGGUGCAGGUGUGGACAACGCUCAGCUAAAGGCUGACAGUCAAGUGCCCAAGGCUGGGGACAGGGUCUGGAUCCUCUUCUGUCCUGUGCUAAAUGUGGGAUCUCCGUUUUCAGGUGUGUGUAACUGAGGGUUCUGGGUGCAGUUCAGAAUAGGAAGCGUAGCAUUAUUGAUUCUCCCCUUAUUCACAUUAAAAAUUUCUCUUAGAUCAUAAAUGCAUGUAGGCAAUAGGAAAAUAAUAUUCAUUUUUUGAAAAACAGAAAUGCUCUAAGGAGUCAGCUAAUGCAUAGCUGAGUUGGUGUUAGAGUCUAUAAACAAGUCUGGAUGGCGCCUGGCAAAAUGCCAGAGGGAGUGGUUUGUGAAGUAACCCCAGGGAGCCAUUAUGUGUGGAGAUUUCUUAUUGGUUGACUGAUGUAUCUAGUUUAUGCUAAUUAGAUAAGCUGUGUGGAAUGUAUAAAUACCGCUCCUGUCCUGCAAUAAACGGCUCCUACUCCUGCUGUA